rnacentral:rRNA from 1 species
UUUCGGUGGCUUAACGCGAUGGAACUACUUUUUUCCAUUCCGAACAAAGAAGUAAAACAUCGUAGUGCCGAUGAUACUCUUUAGGGGAAAGUAGGCAACCGCCGAUAU